rnacentral:rRNA from 1 species
GCAUGUGGUUUAAUUCGAAGCAACGCGAAGAACCUUACCUAAGCUUGACAUCCCAAUGACAUCUCCUUAAUCGGAGAGUUCCCUUCGGGGACAUUGGUGACAGGUGGUGCAUGGUUGUCGUCAGCUCGUGUCGUGAGAUGUUGGGUUAAGUCCCGCAACGAGCGCAACCCUUGUCUUUAGUUGCCAUCAUUAAGUUGGGCACUCUAGAGAGACUGCCAGGGAUAACCUGGAGGAAGGUGGGGAUGACGUCAAAGCAUCAUGCCCCUUAUGCUUAGGGCUACACACGUGCUACAAUGGGUAGUACAGAGGGUUGCCAAGCCGUAAGGCGGAGCUAAUCCCUUAAAGCUACUCUCAGUUCGGAUUGUAGGCUGAAACUCGCCUACAUGAAGCUGGAGUUACUAGUAAUCGCAGAUCAGAAUGCUGCGGUGAAUGCGUUCCCGGGUCUUGUACACACCGCCCGUCACACCACGGGAGUUGGAG